rnacentral:rRNA from 1 species
UACGGAGGGAGCUAGCGUUGUUCGGAAUUACUGGGCGUAAAGCGCGCGUAGGCGGCUUUGUAAGUUAGAGGUGAAGCCAGGACGCUCAACUCCGGAACUGCCUUUAAAACUGCAUCGCUUGAAUCCAGGAGAGGUGAGUGGAAUUCCGAGUGUAGAGGUGAAAUUCGUAGAUAUUCGGAAGAACACCAGUGGCGAAGGCGGCUCACUGGACUGGUAUUGACGCUGAGGUGGCGAAAGCGUGGGGAGCAAACAGG